UGGAUCCAGACUUUGAUCAUGGCUCAGGAUGAACGCUAGCUACAGGCUUAACACAUGCAAGUCGAGGGGAAACGACAUCGAAAGCUUGCUUUUGAUGGGCGUCGACCGGCGCACGGGUGAGUAACGCGUAUCCAACCUGCCCACCACUGGGGGAUAACCUUGCGAUAGUAAGACUAAUACCCAAUGACGUCUCUAGAGGACAUCUGAAAGAGAUUAAAGAUUUAUCGGUGAUGGAUGGGGAUGCGUCUGAUUAGCUUGUUGGCGGGGUAACGGCCCACCAAGGCGACGAUCAGUAGGGGUUCUGAGAGGAAGGUCCCCCACAUUGGAACUGAGACACGGUCCAAACUCCUACGGGAGGCAGCAGUGAGGAAUAUUGGUCAAUGGACGAGAGUCUGAACCAGCCAAGUAGCGUGCAGGAUGACGGCCCUAUGGGUUGUAAACUGCUUUUAUAAGGGAAUAAAGUGAGUCUCGUGAGACUUUUUGCAUGUACCUUAUGAAUAAGGACCGGCUAAUUCCGUGCCAGCAGCCGCGGUAAUACGGAAGGUCCGGGCGUUAUCCGGAUUUAUUGGGUUUAAAGGGAGCGUAGGCCGGAGAUUAAGCGUGUUGUGAAAUGUAGAUGCUCAACAUCUGCACUGCAGCGCGAACUGGUUUCCUUGAGUACGCACAAAGUGGGCGGAAUUCGUGGUGUAGCGGUGAAAUGCUUAGAUAUCACGAAGAACUCCGAUUGCGAAGGCAGCUCACUGGAGCGCAACUGACGCUGAAGCUCGAAAGUGCGGGUAUCGAACAGGAUUAGAUACCCUGGUAGUCCGCACGGUAAACGAUGGAUGCCCGCUGUUGGUCUGAAUAGGUCAGCGGCCAAGCGAAAGCAUUAAGCAUCCCACCUGGGGAGUACGCCGGCAACGGUGCAACUCAAAUGAAUUGACGGA
rnacentral:rRNA from 1 species